CCCUUAGAUGUUCUGGGCAGCACGCGCGCUACAAUGGUCUUCGCAAACGGAUGCAUUCUCGAAGGAGAAUGCCAAUCUUGGAAUCUAUGCCUUGGUCGGGACAGUUGCUUGCAAUUUUUCGACUCGAACCAGGAAUUCCUUGUAAUCGUGAUUCAUCACAUCACGAUGAAUACGUCCCUGCCCUUUGUACACACCGCCCGUCGCUCCUACCGAUCGAAGAGUUAGGUGAAUUGUUUUGAUCGAUAAGAUUUGACUAUGGUCAACUCUCGUUGUGAAAUUCUGUGAAUCUGACUGUUUAGAGGAAGGAAAAGUCUUAACA
rnacentral:rRNA from 1 species